rnacentral:rRNA from 1 species
UGGGAAGUAUUGCACAAUGGCGCAAGCCUGAUGCAGCCAUGCCGCGUGUAUGAAGAAGGCCUUCGGGUUGUAAGUACUUUCAGCGAGGAGGAAGGCAUUAAGGUUAAUAACCUUAGUGAUUGACGUUACUCGCAGAAGAAGCACCGGCUAACUCCGUGCCAGCAGCCGCGGUAAUACGGAGGGUGCAAGCGUUAAUCGGAAUUACUGGGCGUAAAGCGCACGCAGGCGGUCUGUCAAGUCGGAUGUGAAAUCCCCGGGCUCAACCUGGGAACUGCAUUCGAAACUGGCAGGCUAGAGUCUUGUAGA